CAUUACCAGAGUUUUACAGCUCCCAACCCUUCUGUGAACCUACCCGUAGUUGCUUCGGCGGACCCGCCCCAGCGUCCGGACGGCCCAGCGCCGCCCGCGACCUGGACCCAGGCGGCCGCCGGGGACCACGCAACCCUGCAUCUACCAGUCUCUCUGAAUCCGCCGCAAGGCAACACAACGAAUUAAAAACUUUCAACAACGGAUCUCUUGGUUCUGGCAUCGAUGAAGAACGCAGCGAAAUGCGAUACGUAAUGUGAAUUGCAGAAUUCCGUGAAUCAUCGAAUCUUUGAACGCACAUUGCGCCCGCCAGCAUUCUGGCGGGCAUACCUGUUCGAGCGUCGUUUCACCUCUCGACGUCCCCUAGGGCGUCGGCCUUGGGACCGGCAGCACCCCGCCGGCCGGCCCUCAAAGUCAGUGGCGCCCCGUCCGCGGCAACCUCUGCGCAGUACGACCACUCGCACCGGGAACCCGACGCGGCCCGCCGUGAAACCCCGAACCUCCGAACGU
rnacentral:rRNA from 1 species